rnacentral:antisense_RNA from 1 species
CUUCAGCGAUCCGAGCCACAGCGGGCGGUCCGCGGGCCGUCCCUGGCCGUAGGUGGCGAGGAGCGCCUGGGCCUC